rnacentral:lncRNA from 1 species
UUGGUGAUAUUACAAGUUUUAUUUAGUAUGGGUAAGGUCCUUGAUUGUGGUACAGUGGGUGCCUUAUCUAGUUUAUAUAAUCCUCCUCGUAAACUCCUAAUGGUCAGCACUUCAUAGGUUAGAAGGUCCUGCAAAAUGCAUUAAUUAUGAGAGAAUUGAACAGAAAUUUGUGAGUGUUUGGUCAAUUUACUCAUAGAGAGUUGGUUAUAUUUGAAAUUUGGAGUGUACAGAACUUCAUUCAAGAUAAUUUUAGGGUUCAGUAAGACCCUUCAAAAAUAUGCUAUUGUAUUAUUUUUCCCAUCUGGAAAAAAAAUAGCACUGGUAUUAUCUAACUUAGCGGGUUGAGAAAGAGAGAAAUUAUGACACAUGAAUUAUAGCUUCUAUGUCUAUUACCCAAGUUCCAGAGUCUAUAUAAUUUUUACUAAAAGUGUAGCAAUUAGUGUUAGAACCUGCAAAGUCAUUGUAGCUUAUACAACUUGCCUCAUUGAUGCUUGUACUAGGUUGAUUUUCUUUCAUGUAUUUCAGGAUUUCAUGUUGAAUUUGCGGCAUAUUUGCCAUGUUCAUAUUCUAGUCUUGCUUCUAUGUACCUUUUCCAUCAAAAGGAGUUUCAGUAUGUUGCAUUACAUUUGCUGCAAUAGCUUCCUCCUUUCUUUUCUGCUUCAUCUCUGUAAACUACUCUAGAUAACCAUGAAUUUUAAAGCAAGUAUCCUUGAUAUGUCAAAUAGAGUUGCAGUGAGUGAAUACUUUGUCUUCUUUUCUUCCUUGCAUCCUCUUCUUAUAAUAAACCUUUCCUCUAUCAUUUCUUUGAACAUGAACAAUAGUAAGUGCAGUAUUAAGGUCAUGACUAGAGCUAUUAGUGACUUCCCUUUAUUUUUCAACUCUUAGCACCAUUGAACGUGCUUUGUUAUUACUUGGCAAGAUAUCCAUUAGUAAAAUCCGAUUCCUCAUGUGAUCAUAAUUAUCAUUCAGUCCCAUUAGAAACUGAAUCAGUCUAUCUUCACUAUCAAGCUCACACAUAGUUUUUGAUGCACAACAGUUGCCUAGAUGAUAUGAACUAAAACAUGCAAGUCCAUCUCCUUUUGGCAGCUCGCACUUACCAUAAUAAAGCCUAGUUUGUCCUUUGCUUUCAGAGCAAUCACUAUGGUUAUGGUUCUGCUCCAGGAGAGGUUGUUGCUGCCAUCCAAGGGCAGUCACCAUGGUCACACCGGAAUGGUCUGGGUUCAAUAGUUUCAACAUGUCUUUCACAGCUUUGUUGCCUGCAUCAGUGGUUUUGGUGUUAGAGGCAUAGCCUUCUUGGUUGGUAAUUUCUGCCAUUGAAAGCCAAACAGAAGAAAAAUAAGUUUUCUGGAUAGGGCAAUAGAAAUCAGUAGCAUAAGUAGUGCUAUAAUACCGUGUAAAACAAUGUAUUGGUAGAAAAAAUAGCUUAAUAAUUUCUUUCUUAUUUGUGUGAAUUACAUGGGUGUCAUAUACAGAUCUCAGAAACUUCUGGAAUAAGAGAAAAGAAAAAUCUAGGCUAUUCUAUAAUUCGUUACAACAGAAUGCACAGCUAUACAGGGAGAAGAGAAAAGUAGCUCUUGUGAGAUUUCUCGUGAGUCAAAAUGUUCUGAACAUUUUGAACACAUCGACCCAUAAUGUUGAGAAAUCUUCCAGCUUUAGCUUUUUCUUUCAAAGUGCUCUGUUUUUC